rnacentral:tmRNA from 1 species
UCGCUUGCGCGGCAGCGAGACGGCGCACUAUAUUACGUGUGUCGAGCAAUCGACUAUGGCGAUAAACGCUACAUGGAAUAAGCGUUACGGACCCGGGGGCAGUACCCGGCGCCUCCACCAAAUUUCCGGGCCGACCGCCUUGGCGCGGUCGCCCGAUUGCGGGGGCGAACCAGGAUCGACGUGCGUGGUAAAGGUGUGGUCUUCGCCCGGCAUGGUACCGCCGUUAUCGGGCCGAUCCUUAUAUGCCAACGACAACGAGGCAUAUGCUCUCGCCGCAUAAGGCGUGAGCGGGGUUCGGGAGGCACCUGGCACCAGAAGCCUCCCACU